rnacentral:lncRNA from 1 species
UUUAAUAUGAAAAUUUUACUUUCAUCUUUGUUAUUUUCACUCUCCCCUUUAGCUCCCUCUAACCUCCCAUCUCUCUUUGGCUUUGUCGUUCUAUUUCCUUUUUUUUAACCUUCCCUCUGUUUUUUAUCAAGGAAGCCUAAGCUGCUUCUAUCUUGUACGCUUAGUUCAUUUCUCUUAUUGAAUGAAGCAGGUAGCGUGCUAUCUUUUUCUCAAAAAAAAGAAGAAGAAAAUUUUACUCAAUUUAGACGUAGAAU